UGCAUUUUGAGCCGAGCUAAGCCUCGGGGAUGUUAGAUUUAUAGGGGAAAUGCUGCCGAAAUUUCGGUAGGCAAAAUUGAAGUUAAAGGCAUUUUUAAGCCUAAGAAUCUCAAUUGGUAACUUUGACCAUUUGCAGAUUUUUGACGAAACGGGACUGGACUUUUGGAAGAGCAUACGACGUCUGUGAGGUGCAGAUAUCGGUGAUCCUCCACAGUAGGCUUCACUUCUUGCUAUUCCGGAGUACUCCUAUUUGAUCCGGAGUCCACUUUUGGUACAGACUCCUUUUUCUUUGUAUAUAUUUGGUAUGUUUGACUAUUUGGGUACGGCGGGGCCCUGUCUCGCCAUAUGUUUCUGUUUCGAACUCGUAGAGGCCUGUAGUCAUAUAUGUGGGGUGAGGGUCCUGUAUAUGUUGGUCUGAUUUUGCUUUCUGGUCUUAAAGCGGUUCGUUUGUUAUGAUGGCCCCAAAUGGCCCCUAUGCUUAUAUUUGUACUUUUGACCGGCGAUGUCUAUUCCGCCGCUCAGUUUGUAUUUGAUAUGAUAUUUUGAUUU